GAAACGACUGCUAAGACUGGAUAGGAAAUUAGAAGGCAUCUUUUAAUUUUUAAAAGACCUUUUUCGAAAGGUAUACUUAAAGAGGGGCUUGCGGCACAUUAGUUAGUUGGUAGGGUAAAAGCCUACCAAGACCAUGAUGUGUAGCUGGACUGAGAGGUUGAACAGCCACAUUGGGACUGAGACACGGCCCAAACUCCUACGGGAGGCAGCAGUAGGGAAUUUUCGGCAAUGGAGGAAACUCUGACCGAGCAACGCCGCGUGAACGAUGAAGUAUUUCGGUAUGUAAAGUUCUUUUAUUGAAGAAGAAAAAAUAGUGGAAAAACUAUCUUGACGAUAUUCAAUGAAUAAGCCCCGGCAAACUAUGUGCCAGCAGCCGCGGUAAUACAUAGGGGGCGAGCGUUAUCCGGAAUUAUUGGGCGUAAAGGGUGCGUAGGCGGUUUGGUAAGUCUAUAGUUUAAUUCCAGUGCUUAACACUGUUCUGCUAUAGAAACUAUCAGACUAGAGUGAGAUAGAGGCAAGUGGAAUUCCAUGUGUAGCGGUAAAAUGCGUAAAUAUAUGGAGGAACACCAGAGGCGUAGGCGGCUUGCUGGGUCUUUACUGACGCUGAGGCACGAAAGCGUGGGGAGCAAACAGGAUUAGAUACCCUGGUAGUCCACGCCGUAAACGAUGAGUACUAAGUGUCGGGGAAACUCGGUACUGAAGUUAACACAUUAAGUACUCCGCCUGAGUAGUACGUACGCAAGUAUGAAACUUAAAGGAAUUGACGGGACUCCGCACAAGCGGUGGAUCAUGUUGUUUAAUUCGAAGAUACACGAAAAACCUUACCAGGUCUUGACAUACUCUGCAAAGCUAUAGCAAUAUAGUGGAGGUUAUCAGGGAUACAGGUGGUGCAUGGUUGUCGUCAGCUCGUGUCGUGAGAUGUUAGGUUAAGUCCUAAAACGAGCGCAACCCUUGUCACUAGUUGCCAGCAUGUUAUGAUGGGCACUUUAGUGAGACUGCCAAUGAAAAAUUGGAGGAAGGUGAGGAUCACGUCAAAUCAUCAUGCCCCUUAUGAUCUGGGCUACAAACGUGAUACAAUGGCUGUUACAAAGAGUAGCUAAAACGCGAGUUUAUAGCCAAUCUCAUAAAAGCAGUCUCAGUUCGGAUUGAAGUCUGCAACUCGACUUCAUGAAGUUGGAAUCGCUAGUAAUCGCGAAUCAGCAUGUCGCGGUGAAUACGUUCUCGGGGUUUGUACACACCGCCCGUCA
rnacentral:rRNA from 1 species